GACGAACGCUGGCGGCGUGCCUAACACAUGCAAGUCAACUUGAGGGAAGGAGCAAUCUGACCUGAUGGUGGCGCAAGGGUGCGUAACGCGUAAGUAACUUGCCCAAGGUAAGGAAUAACGUCGAGAAAUCGGCGCUAAUACCUCAUAAUGCAGCGGAUCCGCAUGGAUAUGUUGUUAAAGGUUUACCGCCUUGGGAUAGGCUUGCGUCUGAUUAGCUAGUUGGUGUGGUAAUGGCACACCAAGGCUACGAUCAGUAACUGGUCUGAGAGGAUGAUCAGUCACACUGGAACUGAGACACGGUCCAGACUCCUACGGGAGGCAGCAGUGAGGAAUAUUGGGUCGAAUAGCACGAAAGUA
rnacentral:rRNA from 1 species